rnacentral:rRNA from 1 species
UCCGGAAGGGAACUCGGGGAAGGAUCAUUA